AUACUUCCCUGGCAGGCGAGAGACCAUGCUCAUGAAGGCGGUUUUUCCAGGGCAAGGCUUAUCACUGACCUCCAGAGGUAAUGACCCAUGUGAUUUCCCCAAAUGUGGGAAACUCAACUGCAUAAUUUGUGGUAGUGGGCCGCUGUGCUCAUGGUCUU